GCAGCUCCUAAUACAGGAGGCACGUAGCA
rnacentral:sRNA from 1 species